rnacentral:rRNA from 1 species
AUUGAACGCUGGCGGCAGGCCUAGCACAUGCAAGUCGAACGGUAACAGGAAACAGCUUGCUGUUUCGCUGACGAGUGGCGGACGGGUGAGUAAUGUCUGGGAAACUGCCUGAUGGAGGGGGAUAACUACUGGAAACGGUAGCUAAUACCGCAUAACGUCGCAAGACCAAAGAGGGGGACCCUCGGGCCUCUUGCCAUCGGAUGUGCCCAGAUGGGAUUAGCUUGUUGGUGGGGUAACGGCUCACCAAGGCGACGAUCCCUAGCUGGUCUGAGAGGAUGACCAGCCACACUGGAACUGAGACACGGUCCAGACUCCUACGGGAGGCAGCAGUGGGGAAUAUUGCACAAUGGGCGCAAGCCUGAUGCAGCCAUGCCGCGUGUAUGAAGAAGGCCUUCGGGUUGUAAAGUACUUUCAGCGGGGAGGAAGGGAGUAAAGUUAAUACCUUUGCUCAUUGACGUUACCCGCAGAAGAAGCACCGGCUAACUCCGUG